rnacentral:rRNA from 1 species
GAUGAACGCUGGCGGCGUGCUUAACACAUGCAAGUCGAACGAUGAAGCCCAGCUUGCUGGGUGGACUAGUGGCGAAAGGGUGAGUAAAACGUGAGUAACCUGCGCUCAACACUGGGAUAUACCUGGGAAACUGGGGCUAAUAUAGGGUAGGAGCGUUCCUCCCACGGGGGGGGUUGGGAAGAUUUAUCGGUUUUGGAUGGACUCGCGGCCUAUCAGCUUGUUGGUGUGGUAGUGGCUCACCAAGGCUACGACGGGUAGCCGGCCUGAGAGGGUGACCGGCCACACUGGGACUGAGACACGGCCCAGACUCCUACGGGAGGCAGCAGUGGGGAAUAUUGCACAAUGGGCGGAAGCCUGAUGCAGCGACGCCGCGUGAGGGAUGACGGCCUUCGGGUUGUAAACCUCUUUCAGUAGGGAAGAAGCGAAAGUGACGGUACCUGCAGAAGAAGCACCGGCUAACUACGUG